GAUGAACGCUGGCGGCGUGCCUAAUACAUGCAAGUCGAGCGAACAGACGAGGAGCUUGCUCCUCUGACGUUAGCGGCGGACGGGUGAGUAACACGUGGAUAACCUACCUAUAAGACUGGUAUAACUUCGGGAAACCGGAGCUAAUACCGGAUAACAUGUUGAACCGCAUGGUUCAACAGUGAAAGACGGUCUUGCUGUCACUUAUAGAUGGAUCCGCGCCGCAUUAGCUAGUUGGUAAGGUAACGGCUUACCAAGGCAACGAUGCGUAGCCGACCUGAGAGGGUGAUCGGCCACACUGGAACUGAGACACGGUCCAGACUCCUACGGGAGGCAGCAGUAGGGAAUCUUCCGCAAUGGGCGAAAUCCUGACGGAGCAACGCCGCGUGAGUGAAGAAGGUCUUCGGAUCGUAAAACUCUGUUAUUAGGGAAGAACAAAUGUGUAAGUAACUAUGCACGUCUUGACGGUACCUAAUCAGAAAGCCACGGCUAACUACGUG
rnacentral:rRNA from 1 species